UUUCAUUUUGGGGUGGGGCAGGGAUGAGAAAAGGAUUUUGGACAGUUCAACAUGGUGUCCUUAGUUUCCCUUUCUGAGAUGUCCAUGCCUUUGAUGUUGUUAAUAGUACAUUUAAUGCUAGUGAGUCAUUGGCUGUUAUUAUUCGGAUCUAUUAUAUUUUAUUUUUGUCUUUGUUUGGGGAAAAAUCAGGCACAAAACACCGGGUUUAGCUGGGAACAAGAAGGCCCUCGAAGUAAACUUACCAGAGAGUUCUCAAAAGUUUAUAACUUGAAUCCGAAAAUACUUGCUGUUUUAUCUAAAUUUGUUGGAAUAAACUGGAGACAUCUGUACUCUUGACCGGGCUUAUCUCUCCCUUCGAUCUGAUAAGUGGUUCUCCUUGUGCAUUGAAGAUCUUGUGCCAGUGGCACUUGGGACGCACAUAAAGGCUCUGGUUUUAUCCAUAAAUCAAGUCGAGACUGCUGCUGCUGAUCCACUAGAGAAGAUAUUCGGUUUGUUUAUGGAACAGGGUACCUUAUGGCCCGAGAUCUGCUGUUUGCCUGAGAUUAAGAGUCCGGAAAUAUCCGAGAGCAGUUUAUACGGGUAUCUUCACCAGUAUAUUCUGUCCCUGGAAAGAAAUGGCAAACUGGAAACACUUGAAGCAAUAAAUGAGAGGAUCCGGAAACGGUUCAAGAACCCAAAAUUGUCAAAUAGUAAUCGCGCCAAAGUUUGCAGGCAUGCCUCGAUUGCUUGGUAUCGAUCUAUUAUAAUUGGCUUGGCAUC